AGCUUUGCUUUCACUUUCUAGUCGUUCUCACUCUCCGUCCUGGGUUUCCUAACCCUGGAGCCCUGGCCCUUCCUCAAGACGGGGGCCACGCUGAAGCCCUGAGCUGCACCCAAUUAGUCAGGUUUUGAUGCCACGCCAGGCAACAAAUAUUUAUCCAAUGCAUUCUGUUCCAGGCUUCAAGCAAGCAGUGAUAGCGAGCCGGGCAAGGUUCCUGCACACACAGCUUCUAGAAGCCUGGUAGUGCAGAGACACAAUCCAACAAUUCGAAACAGGGCAUAAAGGCGCUGCGGCUUGAUCCACGGUGCUAGUAAGGUCAGCUGAGCCGGCCCGGGGCAGCCAGGGCGGGUUCCCUGGAGGGGGAGAAGUCCGCACAGAGGCCUGAAGGACUUGGAGUUGGCUGUUACUCAGAGGAAGAAAGGGAGGAGUCAUUCCAGGCCAGGGAACAGCGCAUGAGUGGUCCCAUUUUUGGUGAUGCUGGCUGGAGCCCACCGAGAGAGGAGGAGGAAGAACAGGGCAGUGACAAGGUCCUUCUGGACAGGUCGAAAUCUACAUGUCUACUGGACACUAAGCCUUGAGCUAUAGUGCUCUGUGCCCCCAAACAGGAGCCUGGGGCAAAGUUCCAGACUGGCCGCCCCCUACACACAGCUGGUGAGAAGAUGCGAAGAUGUGAAGGCCUACAGCACAGAAGCUGCUGGCAGAGAAUGACCGACCCCGCAAAGGACCAGAAAGGCCGCAGAAGGAGAGGGAUGUGGCCCAGGUGUGGCGUGCUGCUCAGAGGGCGGGACCGCACCCAUGGGAUACGGAGGUUCCCAGGCUAGGGGGUCUAAUAGGAGCUGUAGCCACCAGCCUACACCACGGCCACAGCCACGCCAGAUCCGAACUGUGUCUGCCACCUACACCACAGCUCACCGCAACACCGGAUCCUUAACCCGCUGAGCGAGGCCUGGGAUCAAACCCGCAACCUCAUGAUUCCUAGUCGGAUUCGUUUCUGCUGUGCCAUGACGGGAAUGCCUAUAACGUUUGUCUUAUUUAAGCAUCUGUUAUUGUCAGUCUCUGUUAAAACAACUGAACUGUAUCCUAACGCAAACAUUCAACAUUGUUUAUAAAUUUGUUUUUGUUUUUGCUUUUGUUUUUGGCUGCACCCACAGCCUGUGAAAGUUCCUGUGUCAGGGAUUGAACCCACGCCACAGAUGCAGCCUGCACUGCAGCUAUGUCAAUGCCGGAUCCUUAACCCACUGAGCCACACGUGGAGUUCCGGUUUGUUUGUUUGCUUUUAAUGGAAAUGCCUAAAUGUCCCUCAAAGAGAGGAUGCGUAUAGGAGCCAGGGUAACUCCAUACAAUUAAGUACAUGAAGUCAUUGGAGAAAAGAAUGAAAUAGGAGCUCCUGCUGUGGCACCGUGGGUCAAGGAUCUGGUGUUGCUGCAGCUCUGGCAUAGGUUGCAGCUGUGGCUCAGAUUCGAUCCCUGGUCCAGAAACUUUCAUAUGCCAAAAAAAAAAAAAAAAAAAAAAAAAAAGAGAGAAUGAAAUAGACAUAUGUUCUUGAUAGACUAUUAAAAUGAAAAACGAAAGUGAUAAAACAAUGUAGAAGAUGCUGUAGUUUCUAGGUUUCCGGGGACAAGUACCUUCUUCCCUCUCCUGUAGAAACUACAGAAAUCACAUUCUGCCUUGGAUGGUGGGGUUUGAGGCUGGGGGUCUACAACAGCAGCAGCCUCUUUGUUCCAAAAGGAAAGACCCUAGAUUUGGUGAAGGCAGAGGGGAGCAAAUGCUGCAUAGAACCUAUAGAGAGACCAAAAAGAGAGGGAGAACCGGCCUGCGGGGACGCUGAGGGGCUGGGUCAAGCCUGAAUCAAAGUCAGCCUUGGAUCUGACUGUGUGCACAUACGGAGCCUUCAAACUCCAUUCGUUCAUUGGUUUAAGCGCAUUUUAGCUAGGUUUUCCUUUGCUUUAAAAAGAAGACUGAGUGAGGCCAGUGGGUUAAGUGUCCAGGAUUGCUGCAAACUGCUGCAUAGCUCACAGAAGCAGCUGGGAUCUGGUGUCGCUGUGGCUGUGGUGUAAGCCGGCAGCUGAAGCUCCGAUUUGACCCCUAGCUCGGGAACUUUCAUAUGCUGCAGGUAUGGCUCUAAAAAGAAAAAAAAAAUUUUUUAAGUAAAAAGAAGACUCCUUAUAAAGCUAUUUGUUGUAACUUAUUAAUAAGCAAAUUAUUUAAAAAGUUCAGUUUAAAAACAGGUUAAAGAAGUGAGGUAUUUCUAACCAUGAAAUACUAUGCAACCGAUAUAUUUUUUAAAAUCACUGUAUGUGGUGAUAUAAAAAGAUAUACCCAAGAUAUUUCAUUAAGCGUAAAAAAGUGGAGAUUAUGUAAAGUAUGCUACCAUUUAUGUGAGAAAAAAAUAUAUAAUGAUUAUGUUUCUAAAAAUGCUUGCAAUAUCUCUUGAAGGAUACUCAAGAAAUUGAUAACAACAGGAACCUAAAGAGCUAGGAAACCAAGAGGAGAAGGAUGCUUCUCUUUCACUGUAUACUCUCGUUCGCUUUUUGUGUUUUAUAUCAUGUGUAUGGAAUACCUGUUCAGAAAAUAAAGGUAGUUUUAAAAA
rnacentral:lncRNA from 1 species